rnacentral:rRNA from 1 species
GGGCCCGCACAAGCGGUGGAGCAUGUGGUUUAAUUCGAUGAUACGCGAGGAACCUUACCAGGGCUUAAAUGUAGGUUGCAUGAUCUAGAGAUAGAUCUUUCUUCGGACUACCUACAAGGUGCUGCAUGGUUGUCGUCAGCUCGUGCCGUGAGAUGUUCGGUUAAGUCCGGCAACGAGCGCAACCCCUGUCGUUAGUUGCCAUCAAUUCGGUUGGGCACUCUAGCGAGGACUCCCGGUGUUAAGCCGGCGGAAGAUGGGGAUGACGUCAAGUCCUCAUGGCCCUUAUGUCUGGGGCUACACACGUACUACAAUGGUCGGUACAGAAAGCAGCCACUAUGCGAAUAGGAGCUAA